rnacentral:rRNA from 1 species
AACGAACGCUGGCGGCAGGCCUAACACAUGCAAGUCGAGCGAAGCCUUCGGGCUUAGCGGCGGACGGGUGAGUAACGCGUGGGAACGUGCCCUUUGGUACGGAAUAGCCCCGGGAAACUGGGAGUAAUACCGUAUGUGGUCGAGAGACGAAAGAUUUAUCGCCAAAGGAUCGGCCCGCGUUGGAUUAGGUAGUUGGUGGGGUAAUGGCCUACCAAGCCGACGAGCCAUAGCUGGUUUGAGAGGAUGAUCAGCCACACUGGGACUGAGACACGGCGCAGACUCCUACGGGAGGCAGCAGUGGGGAAUCUUAGACAAUGGGGGAAACCCUGAUCUAGCCAUGCCGCGUGAUCGAUGAAGGCCUUAGGGUUGUAAAGAUCUUUCAGUGGGGAAGAUAAUGACUGUACCCACAGAAGAAGCCCCGGCUAACUCCGUGCCAGCCGCCGCCGUAAGAC